GUUAGGAAUAUUCGUCAAUGGGGGAAACCCUGAACGAGCAAUGCCGCGUGAGUGAUGACGGUCUUUAUGAUUGUAAAACUCUGUUGUAAGGAAAGAACCCUUAUCAUAGGAAAUGAUGAUAAGUUGACGGUACCUUACCAGAAAGCCCCGGCUAACUACGUGCCAGCAGCCGCGGUAAUACGUAGGGGGCGAGCGUUAUCCGGAUUUAUUGGGCGUAAAGCGUGUGUAGGCGGUUUGUUAAGUCUAAAAUAAAAGCCUGGAGCUUAACUCCAGUUCGUUUUAGAAACUGGCAGACUUGAGUGUGGUAGAGGCAAGUGGAAUUUCUAGUGUAGCGGUUAAAUGCGUAGAUAUUAGAAGGAACACCAGUGGCGAAGGCGGCUUGCUGGGCCAUUACUGACGCUGAGACACGAAAGCGUGGGGAGCAAAUAGGA
rnacentral:rRNA from 1 species